AGCCGACGGCCGGGGGAGUCAGAGGAGCGACUGCUAAGUAAUCGUGCAAAGAGCUCCCGGGCCACGGCUGGGGCGCGGGCCGGUUCCCCCGACUCGAGGGAGUCUCAGUGCAGGGGAGCCUCCCCCGAGCGAAGGCUGCAAGAGUCGGCGUGCAGUCCCGCGGGUAGUUGCCGGCGCCGCUGCUCAGAGGGAUGGGAGAGGCUGAUCGCUGCCCUCGAGCCCUGGGUCCAUCUCCGCCACGAAGUCCGAGGAGCGCAGGCCGGGGCCGCCUUGGAAGCGGGAGGAGGAGGGUCAAGAACAUCGUCCUUCCUCAGGCGGCAAUGAACGUGUCAAGGGAAGCCGCCAGGGAGAGGAGCUGCGGCGGGGGAAGCUGGCGGAAAGCUGCUCGGCUUGCGUGGGGAGGAUGCUGCCACGGGCAUGCAGUCAAGCCUGCAACAAGGGGCAAGCUGGGUGGGGGUGGGCAAAACAAACAAGCGGUGCUAGCAGGAAGCGAAACCGCUGCUGAUUGCGUUGGUUCCCUCUCUGAGCUCCCGUGAGCUUCGCAGGGCAGGGAAUGAUGUGCGCAAGAUAUGACGCCAGCGUCUCUUUCCAACAUCACCCAGAAAAUUUUGGACAAAGACACGGGCAAGCACUCGCCAGCCACUGAUGAGUGAGUGCUGUCAGAUAUAGCCUCCAACACGCGAGGGGAAAUCCGAAACGGUCUCCGGCACAGCUCGGAAAGGAAGAAGCAAGUUUCUUUGCACUGUCUUAAAAUCCUGCUCGUGAAGAACUAGAGCGAAGACAUGUGGAAGUUGACUUUUUCCAAGGUCCAGCACUGGACCCAGCUCAUUCUACCCACCCAGGGUUCAUCUAAGUGUCCUUAACCUGACUCUGAUCAUUUUUAAACAGCCCUACCCCAUCUCAGUUUUGCAUAGGGGAAUGCUUGCUUGCAAAAAUUGUUUAAUAAUAAGUUGUUUGCAAAUCACUCCACCUAGAAAACUGUAAAUCAGAUUACAUUUUAAGAUUUCCACUGCUGUCUACACGCAGAGGACCAUUUUGAGCCCUGGGAACGGUUACCACAUCCUUAUUCUUUGCUGUGGAGUGGAUUGGGACAUCGUCCCUUAUAUCAUCCAAGAUCCAGCAGCUCCGCUUCCCCCUCUGACGCUUGUGACAAACAAAGGCACUCGCAGAGGGAUUCUUAUUUGCAAGACUGUUUAACUUCUCUUGUUUGAUUUGCACGACUAGAAUCACGUGUUUCUGCCACUUCCUCUUGUGCAGAUUCUAACGUCCUAACUUGCAAUAUCCAUUUACUUAAACAUUUCUCUAAAGAGAACUAGAGCAAUGUUAUUCCUUCAUGAGGAUAACUAAGCAACUGCUGUUCUUGGAUGUGAACACUUAAAAUUAUGAUGCAUGUUUAGGGCUGCAUAUCUAGCAUUUUUACAGCCAUUUUGAGGAAAGAUUCUUCAACCAUUUGUGAAAUUGACAGGUUUCCCUUUGUCAUGGAGUGUGGGGGGAGGCAGGGUCCUACACCCCUCUUCCUAGGAUUCACCCUGACUCUCAGCCAGCCAGUAAAAUGGAAGGUUUGUAGGACAAUAGGAACACAGUGCCAAACAGAGCGUAUGGGUACAACUAGGACCCCUCAGUCAAGUCCUUCUAGGGCGCAGAGAGCUUAGACCCCAGCCUUGGGGUUCCCUGUGUUUCACCACCCAGCUCCCAAACAGAAAACAAAAACCCCUCCUGCAGGCUCUCUCCCCCUCCCCCCAGCUCAUCCUCUAGCCUUUGUCCAGUUUCAAAGGCAAAGGUGUCAGCUCUCCCACCCCCUCUCCUGGCUCAUGUUACAGCCUCAAGUAUCUUCCUUCAGGGGAAGUCUUCACUCCCCAAUGCACAGUCCCAGUGAACCUCCCCGGCAACACUCCCAGGUCAAAUCUGCCCCACUCCCUGCUGAGUUACACCCUUUGAAACCACUGGAACUUUACAUGCAAAGUAAAAUGAUCAGUGAAAUUGGCAGACUCUCUUUAGGAAAGAGGCAUGUUUCAGGAAUUUUUUGCUCAGUAACAGGAAGGCCGAUUUACUGUACAUCCUUAAUUAUUCAGCUACUGGAUAUGUGUAAAUAAAGGCUAACUGCGCUCCCCUUUACUCUGGAAUCUU